rnacentral:rRNA from 1 species
GACAGAGGCCCCGAGCGUUAGUCGGAAUCACUGGGUUUAAAGGGUGCGUAGGUGGGCAAGUAAGUCAGUGGUGAAAUCUCCGGGCUUAACCCGGAAACUGCCAUUGAUACUAUUUGUCUUGAAUACUGUGGAGGUCAGCGGAAUAUGUCAUGUAGCGGUGAAAUGCUUAGAUAUGACAUAGAACACCAAUUGCGAAGGCAGCUGGCUACACAAAUAUUGACACUGAGGCACGAAAGCGUGGGGAUCAAACAGG